rnacentral:tRNA from 1 species
GGGAAGGAAGCUCUGUGGUAGAGCGCUUGCCUUACAUGCAUGAGGCCCUGGGUUCAAUUCCUCAGCACCCCA